GAUUUCUAUUGUUUUAAUAAUAACGGAAAAAUCUUGCAGUGUGGCGUUAUUCUAAAGUACCAAAUUAUGCUGGGGGGAGUUUUUACUUGGAAUGCUGUUGGGCUCACAAUCCUUGCCAUUGAACCUGGCAUAACUGCACAUAUGUAUGAUUUGCGUCGGGACUUUGGACUGGCAAGCUCAGGACGUGAAUACGUUCUGCAGUGAGCCAAUUCUUCACAUUUUAGCGUGCU